GUGUUGAAAUUUAUGAGCCCCAAGCCAAAUGUGUCAAUGCGAUUUUGCAGGUGAGAGAAUAUAGCUACUCUGGUUAGCUGUGUAGGUUAACACUUACCGACACGACAUCUCCCAUUUGUCUUGUCUUCCUUUCUCCACUGGGAACUGAAAAAAAUGCACUUUUUGCGACUGCUUUGGUG